AGUGAACGCUGGCGGUAGGCCUAACACAUGCAAGUCGAACGGCAGCACAGUAAGAGCUUGCUCUUACGGGUGGCGAGUGGCGGACGGGUGAGGAAUACAUCGGAAUCUACUUUUUCGUGGGGGAUAACGUAGGGAAACUUACGCUAAUACCGCAUACGACCUACGGGUGAAAGCAGGGGAUCUUCGGACCUUGCGCGAUUGACUGAGCCGAUGUCGGAUUAGCUAGUUGGCGGGGUAAAGGUCCACCAAGGCGACGAUCCGUAGCUGGUCUGAGAGGAUGAUCAGCCACACUGGAACUGAGACACGGUCCAGACUCCUACGGGAGGCAGCAGUGGGGAAUAUUGGACAAUGGGCGCAAGCCUGAUCCAGCCAUACCGCGUGGGUGAAGAAGGCCUUCGGGUUGUAAAGCCCUUUUGUUGGGAAAGAAAAGCAGCAGGUUAAUACCCCGCUGUUCUGACGGUACCCAAAGAAUAAGCACCGGCUAACUUCGUG
rnacentral:rRNA from 1 species